rnacentral:rRNA from 2 species
GCCUUAUACCAUGCAAGUCGAGCGAUCUGAUGGGAGCUUGCUCCCUUGAUAAGUUAGCGGCGGACGGGUGAAGUUACACGUGGGUUACCCUGCCUUGNAAAGACUGGAAAUAAUUCCGGGAAACCCGGGGGUUAAUACCGGAAUAAACUUUUUUCCUUCGCAUGAAGGGAAAUUGAAAGGUGGGCACUAGCUACCACUUACAGAUGGACCCGCGGCGCAUUAGCUAGUUGGUGAGGUAACGGCUCACCAAGGCGACGAUGCGUAGCCGACUUGAGAGGGUGAUCGGCCACACUGGGACUGAGACACGGCCCAGACUCCUACGGGAGGCAGCAGUAGGGAAUCUUCCGCAAUGGACGAAAGUCUGACGGAGCAACGCCGCGUGAGUGAUGAAGGUUUUCGGAUCGUAAAACUCUGUUGUUAGGGAAGAACAAGUAUCGUUCGAAUAGGGCGGUACCUUGACGGUACCUAACCAGAAAGCCACGGCUAACUACGUGCCAGCAGCCGCGGUAAUACGUAGGUGGCAAGCGUUGUCCGGAAUUAUUGGGCGUAAAGCGCGCGCAGGCGGUUUCUUAAGUCUGAUGUGAAAGCCCACGGCUCAACCGUGGAGGGUCAUUGGAAACUGGGAGACUUGAGUGCAGAAGAGAAGAGCGGAAUUCCACGUGUAGCGGUGAAAUGCGUAGAGAUGUGGAGAAACACCAGUGGCGAAGGCGGCUCUUUGGUCUGUAACUGACGCUGAGGCGCGAAAGCGUGGGGAGCGAACAGGAUU